GCUCCUGAGCUCAAGCUAUCCACUUGCCUCAGCCUCCCAAAUUGCUGAGAUUAGAAGAAUGAGCCACUGUGCCUGUGACUUACUUCUAACCCACAGAAUAGAGCAACAGUGAGAGGAUGUCAAUUCUGUGAUAGAUUGCAAAAUAUUGUAAGUUCCUAGCAGUCUUUCUCAUUGGUUUCAAUAAAAAAAAGCUGCUGUGCUGGAGGGACCCAUGAGGCAAAGAACUGAGAGCAGCCUUUAGCUAACAGCCGGCAAGGAAUGAGGUGCUUGGUCCAGCAAUCACAGAGAAACUGAAUCCUGCUGAUGAUCAUGAGGGUGAGCUUGGAAGCAGAUUCUGUCCCAGAUGAACUUUGAUUGUGUCUUGUUAGAAACCCUGGACCAACUCCUUGAUUGCACCUGUGAGAGGCCCUGAAGCGGAGGGCCCAGCUAAGGUGUGUCUGGAUUUCUGACCCACAGAAACUGAGAUCAUAAAUGUGUGGUUUUAAGCCCGUAAGUUUUGGAAUACAGUAGAUCUUCAUUAUUCACAGAUUUUGCACUUGCAAAUUUGCUUACUCGCUAAAAUUUAUUUGUAUCCCUAAAAUCAGUACUCCAGCACUUUCACAGUCAUUUACGGCAUCUGCAGAGCAGUGAAAAAUUUGAAUUGCCUGAGAUACAUGCUCCCUGCUGAAGUCGCACAAGCUGGCCAAUCCUGCUAAUCCUUUAAAACUCACCUGGAGGGAAGGCCUCCUUCUGCAAAGCCUCUCUUGAUGCAGAUUAUCAGCUUUCACUCUCUACCAGAUGGCAAGGAUAUUGCUGUUGGCUCAUAGGAUGUGAACAGUGGUGUUGAGAUUACCCUCAUUUGGCUGAUGAUGUCAUUGAGGCCCAGAGAAGGUAAGUAAUGUACCAAGGUUACAGACUAGUAAGUGACAGAGAUGGGUUUUGAGCCCCAUUCUUCUACAUUGUGUGCAAUAGCUCAUAUCAAGGUCACUAAAGCUGAAGACUGAAUUAUUUAUUCAAAUACUGCCAUCAUGCACCAAUAUUCUCAACAGGUAGGACACCUGGCAGGGCCUGGCUUUGGGGCUAACUUCUGCAGCUCUUUUGAUUGCCCCCACCUUACAGUUUUUGGCACAGAGCACUGUGUAGCUGGCACUUCUCUACUGGCCCGAAUGAGAAAACUUCCUCAGAGCAAAAUGUCAAGCACCAAAUAAGAUUCAUGUUUACUGUGAAGUGAUUGCUGCUUUUUAAAUGCUUAUCAGAAGCCGAAGGACAAACUCAGUAGGUUGAUUCAUGCUGAGCUCGACUACCUCCGUGAGAAAUGACUCUCCUGUAGGGCUCGAUGACCUUCAUGUCAAUGCGCUGCUCUUGUUCUCCAAUGACCACUGUCCUCCAAAGCCGGUUGUCCUCCCGUUCCUCUUCGGCCGUAUAUUCUGGAAUAGACUCUGACUCUUGGCCAGAAUCUUUGUUGGCUGUGGGAUCUUCUGGAAACAAAGCACAGAGCAAGGCUGAAGGAGCAAGACCUCCACAGUGCAGCUAAACAGCCAAAUGAGUCUCCCGCAAGUCAGGAAAACUGGAUAAAAAGAGGCCUAAAUGUGAGCAAGAGCUAUCAUGUUUGGCUUCAAGUAUUGUCUACUAUGUGCCGAGGAUAUAGAGGAACAAAACAGACCCGUCUCAUUCUCGUGGUGGAGUUGGGAUGAUGGAGCUAAUACAAUGACCCCUACCUUCAAAAACUCAGUGCUGCUCCCCUGGAUAGAGUGAGGCUUAAACAUGAAAAUUUGAGGAACGCUGAGCAGGAAUAGAAGGAAAGCCUACAUUUUUAUCAUUUCAACCUCUUUGCUUUUCAGAGAAUAAUUAACUCCUUGGCUGUGAAUGAUGGAUGCAUGGAGAAUUCUACCUCUUGCCUGCAGGCUAUUUGCUAGCUUCUUUUAAUAUUUUUCCUAUAACCUUAAGAUCUAUGAAUAGAUUUGUUUGUUGUGGAGAAGAUUAAAUUAGAUGGCAUAAUCUCACAUUGGAGAGGGGCAUAUACUUAUUUAGGAAGUGAGUUUACAGUUCACAACCAGGAUGGCUCAAAGGGAUCUCAAACUGAACAUGUUCAAAACCUAAUCCCACAUCUUCCUCUACGCAGAUCCGCUACAUCCUACCUUCUCUGUGACGACUUUGAAAAGUGUCCAUGAAUUCUUUGACACUCUUUUCAAAAGGUGGAGCCUAAUUUCCCGUCCCUUAAGUGUGGACUGAUGAUUUGCUUCUAAAGAACAGAAUAAGGUGGAAUGGAUGGUAGGUGACUUCUAAGGCUAGGUCCUAAAAAGCACUGUGUGCUUUGUUCUCUCUUGGGUCUCUCAGUCUGGGAGAAACCAGCUACCCUGUUGUAAGGACAGUCAAGCAGCCCUGUGGAGAGUCCAUGUGGCAAGGAACUGAGGCUUCCUGUGAAAAUCCAGGAAGGAACUGAAGCCUUCUGCCAACAGCCAUGUGAACGAGCCAUCUUGGAGGCAGAUCCUGCAGCCUGGCUAAUGUCUUGAUGGCAACUUAACAAGAUACCUUAAGCCAGAACCAUCUAGCUAAUACACUCUUGAAUUCCUAUUACAAACACUGGGAAAUAAUCAAUGUUUGUUGUUUUAAGCUGCUAAACUUUGAUAUUAUUUAUUUUAUUCAUUUAUUUUUUG
rnacentral:lncRNA from 1 species